UCCUUGGUAGUCCAGUGGUUAGGACUCUGCACUUUCACUGCUGAGAUUCCAGGUUUGAUCCCUAGUCCAGGAC
rfam:TPA: Bos taurus chromosome 1, whole genome shotgun sequence.